CCUACGGGAGGCAGCAGUUUCGAAUCAUUCACAAUGAGGGAAACCUUGAUGGUGCAACGCCGCGUGGGGGAUGACGGCCUUCGGGUUGUAAACCCCUGUCACCAAGGACUAACCGUACGGCUCAUACCCGUACCUGAAUUAACUUGGAGAGGAAGCAGUGGCUAACUCCGUGCCAGCAGCCGCGGUAAUACGGAGACUGCGAGCGUUACUCGGAUUUACUGGGCGUAAAGGGUCCGUAGGCGGCCAUGUGUGUCGGGUGUGAAAUCCUGCAGCUCAACUGCAGAACUGCGCCCGAAACUACAUGGCUAGAGUAUUGGAGAGGUGAGUGGAAUUCCAGGCGUAGCGGUGAAAUGCGUAGAUAUCUGGAGGAACACCAACGGCGAAGGCAGCUCACUGGACAAUUACUGACGCUGAGGGACGAAAGCGUGGGGAGCGAAAGGGAUUAGAUACCCCUGUAGUCCACGCCGUAAACGUUGUGCACUCGCUAUUGGCGGCUUCGACCCCGUCAGUGGCUAAGCUAACGCGAUAAGUGCACCGCCUGAGGACUACGGCCGCAAGGCUAAAACUCAAAUGAAUUGACGG
rnacentral:rRNA from 1 species